UCGCUGCCAGUUGCCAACGGGUGGAAGCCGGGCGACUCUGGCGGGACUGCCAUCGACAAGAUGGAGGAAGGUGGGGAUGACGUCAAGUCAUCAUGGCCCUUAUGUCCAGGGCGACACACGUGCUACAAUGGCCGGCACAGCGGGAAGCGAGGCAGUGAUGCCAAGCGGAUCCCUUAAAGCCGGUCUCAGUUCGGAUUGAAGUCUGCAACUCGACUUCAUGAAGCUGGAAUCGCUAGUAAUCGCAGAUCAGCCAAGCUGCGGUGAAUACGUUCCCGGGCCUU
rnacentral:rRNA from 1 species